rnacentral:lncRNA from 1 species
CUUGGAAAAAACUGUUUCUGCUCAAUGAAUGGCUCGAUAUAAUCUGUAAUUGCGUAGAAACAAUUAUGCAGCAGGCUGUUUUGUACUUAAUAGUAUUUACAUCCUUGGCUUUAUUAGCAACAAAAUCUAAGUGGAACUUGUGAAAGAGAAAUUAAUUUUUCCACUAAAAGGUAUAAACUUUUAAGUUAAAGAUCCAGCUGAUUGUGGAAAUCUAAAAUAUAUGCAAUAGACUCUAAUUUAACUUAUUUCCCACUGAAAUGUUUCAUUAUUCUUUCAGAUACCUGUGGCAGUUGGAUUGAUAAUCUGCACCCAAGGAGUUCCAUGCAAACUCCCGUGACCUGAGCUAAAUUCCUCAGCACUUCCACCUCCCUGGUGAACUGCAGUGAAUUCCCUGCCAAAGCCCUCACCACUGCACACUCCUGGUGCCAGCAGUAUCCUGGGAGGACCAGUGUAUGCAAAAUGCUGUGUUACUGCUAUCAUCUAGCAGGGUUUGUCAGGAAUGACACACAAAUACGAAAAAUGAACAGAUCCAAAUUCAAUCAAGAGAGCCAGCAGCAUUCAGUACCCACCUGGUGA